rnacentral:rRNA from 1 species
UCUCUUCAGAGGAACUUGUCCUGUAAUUGAUAAACCACGAUUUAAUUUACUUGCUUUAUUAGUUUACAUAUCGCCAUAGUUGGAAUAUCUUAGAAGAGUUAAAUAUUCAAAAAUUUAUUUUAGAAAGAAAAUUAGGUCAAGGUGUAGUUUAUAAGUAAGAAGAGAUGAGUUACAAUAAAUUUAUUUAUACGAAUUAGAAUUUUAAAAAUUUUAUGAAGGUGGAUUUGAUAGUAAUUUUAAUUAAAUUAUUAAAAUGAUUUAAGCUCUAAAAUAUGUACAUAUUGCCCGUCACUUUCACUAUAAAGUGAAAUAAGUCGUAACAUAGUAGGUGUACUGGAAAGUGUACCUAGAAAGACAAAUUAGAGCUUGUUAUAAAGCAUUUUAUUUACAUUAAAAAGUUUAUUGUGAAAAUCAAUAUAAUUUGAAUUUUUAUUAUUAUUAGUUAUUUAAGGUGUAAUUUUAUUUAAAAAAAAUAAUUUUUUGUUUUAUUAUUUUUUAUAAAAAAUUUAUUUUAUUAUAGAGUAUUAGUAUUGUUAAAGAAAUAAAUAAAUAGUUUAAAAAAUAAUUUAUUUUUAGUACCUUGUGCAUUCAAACCGGUGUGAGCCAGGUUGGUUUCUAUCUCAAAAAAAGUAAAAUAUUUUAGUACGAAAGGACCUAGAUAUUUAAUUGAAAAUUUUAUUUGAGAAAUAAAAUUGUUAUUUUGGCUAGAAAUAGUGCGAUAGAUUUAGAAUCUAUAAAUGUAAUAUUUAUAUACAAAUAAUACUUGUUAUUUAAAGAUUUAUUAAUAAU